GCCGGGCAUGGUGGUGGGUGCCUGUAAUCCCAGCUACUUGGGAGGCUGAGGCAGGAGAAUCACUUGAACCCAGGAGGUGGAGGUUACAGUGAGCCAAGACCGUGCCAUUGCACUCCAGCCUGGGCAAUAGAGGGAGACUCUGUCUCAU
rnacentral:SRP_RNA from 1 species